rnacentral:rRNA from 1 species
GACGAACGCUGGCGGCGUGCUUAACACAUGCAAGUCGAACGGAAAGGCCCUGCUUUUGUGGGGUGCUCGAGUGGCGAACGGGUGAGUAACACGUGAGUAACCUGCCCUUGACUUUGGGAUAACUUCAGGAAACUGGGGCUAAUACCGGAUAGGAGCUCCUGCUGCAUGGUGGGGGUUGGAAAGUUUCGGCGGUUGGGGAUGGACUCGCGGCUUAUCAGCUUGUUGGUGGGGUAGUGGCUUACCAAGGCUUUGACGGGUAGCCGGCCUGAGAGGGUGACCGGCCACAUUGGGACUGAGAUACGGCCCAGACUCCUACGGGAGGCAGAAGUGGGGAAUAUGGCACAAGGGGCGGAAGCCUGAUGCAGCAACGCCGCGUGCGGGAUGACGGCCUUCGGGUUGUAAACCGCUUUCGCCUGUGACGAAGCGUGAGUGACGGUAAUGGGUAAAGAAGCACCGGCUAACUACGUG